UAGGAAAUGGUGUAGUGGAGCACUAAGAGUUUUGAUCUCUUCCGUUUGGGUUCGAGUCCCAAUUUUCUAA
rnacentral:tRNA from 1 species